rnacentral:rRNA from 1 species
UGAGGAAUAUUGGUCAAUGGGCGUAAGCCUGAACCAGCCAAGUCGCGUGAGGGAAGACGGCCCUAUGGGUUGUAAACCUCUUUUGUCGGGGAGCAAAGCCGCCCACGAGUGGGCGGAAGGAAAGUACCCGAAGAAAAAGCAUCGGCUAACUCCGUGCCAGCCGCCGCGGUAAUACGGAGGAUGCGAGCGUUAUCCGGAUUUAUUGGGUUUAAAGGGUGCAUAGGCGGCAUGGUAAGUCAGCGGUCAAAUCGAGGGGCUCAACCCCUUUCCGCCGUUGAAACUGCCGUGCUUGAGUGGGCGAGAAGUAUGCGGAAUGCGUGGUGUAGCGGUGAAAUGCAUAGAUAUCACGCAGAACUCCGAUUGCGAAGGCAGCAUACCGGCGCCCGACUGACGCUGAGGCACGAAAGCGUGGGGAUCGAACAGG